rnacentral:lncRNA from 1 species
GUCUGGGUGCCUAUACUGUCCCUUUAACUGUCCUUUAUCAGAACACAUUGAUAAAUAUCCCCCACUUUCUUAGCAGCUUGCAAUUUAUCGAAUCUUACUUGUUGCUCAAUUCUUUGAAAUGGCAACAGGUAACAGUUAUCAGCAUGAAAUGUAAUACAAUUAACAAAACAACUUGCGGUACUGAGAUUAUUCAUGAAGGUCAUUAUUUUUCUACAAAAAGCUAAAUAAUUUUUAAUAACUCUAGUUAAGGAUAUAUUUCUGCUUUAACCAAAUUAUUGUAAAAUGAUUAUAAUUUGUUUAAGUUAAUUAAAUAUUUUUAUUCCUAACAACUAAUUUCUAUCUACAUGAUGCCUAUUAAUUAAAUUUUUUAGACUCAUUAUCUAUAUGCAUCAUGGUAAUAGCGACUUGAAAAAUGUGCCAUCAAACGCAAAGGAGUUUAUUCACAACACACCAAAUUAUAGUGAAUUCAAAGCCAAAAGUGCCAUUGUUUAAGGUGAGAAUUUUUUGGGAAUUCAAAGUGAAUUCAAUGGAAUAUUCAGAUUUAAGGCUUCAAUAACAAUGUCAGCUAUGCUUCCAGUUCGGAUACUUUGGCCUUAAAUUUGAAAUUCACUCUGAAUUCUCAUGUUAGUAAAUAACUCUGAAAGUUGCAAAAUUCAGGCUGAAAUAGUUUUUUAAAAAUUAUCCAUCUCAGCUAUUGUCACAGCUUGAUUAUUUUAUGCUAAAUUAUCCCCUAAAGGACACAUGACGGAAAUUUUCCGUGAUGCUGGCAUUUGCCUUCUGAAGCUGUGUUCUUAAGUGGUUAAGUUAAUUUGUUUCCCAGUUCACUGUAGUUUGAUAUUUUGUGAAUAGGGAUGGUACAGAAAAUCCUAACUGCAUGAGUGCCGUUCAUAUAAAGAAAUACCUGGCACAUAUAAUAAAUGCACAUAUAUUUACUGGUUUUCCUAAUGUUUAAGAAACUAUAAUACCAUAUAAAAGUAUGGGUGGUUAUUCGUAUAGAGAUUUUUUGAGGCUACUGUAUGAAAUAAGGGCAAUCAGUAGCAACAUUCCAUUGAUUUAAAUGGUGAUUGUUUCACUUUUAUAAAUAAAAUGGCGUUGUUGGAUUCUACGACCAGAUAACAGGAUGCAUAGUAAUUGAAGUUUUGUUCAAGUCUAAUGUAAUCAAUAACUAGACAUGAUGUUAUCUCUGAGAAUAGAAUCCAGAACUAGAUCCAGUUAUACAUAUCAACUGGGCUUGUCCUUUAAAAGUUUUGAUAUAAAUUGAUUUGCUGGCAAAUAACAUUAAUGUUGAUAUUAAUAGUGUAAAUUAAUACAAAUCUGGAACCAUAUUUAUCAAGAUGUGUGCUGAUAUGGGAUUAGGAAUUUAUGAAAAGGCCGAACGUUUGGGAAUUUUGUAUCUAUAAAAAAUUAUGACAGUGUUUGCAGAAUGGAAAUUUAGAAUUUAUAACGACGUGCAUUUUGUAUGUGUUUUGAGAUAGCAAUUGCUUACUGUUUGUUUACAAUGGGAAAGUGUAUUAAAUGUCCAAAAAUGUAAUAUCCUUGUCCAGAUAAGAUAUGUGUUUUGCUUAUAAAUAUAGAUACAUUUAGCUAUUAUAUAUAUAGGAAGUUCUAUACUGCCAAAAUAAUCUAUUUAAUGUAAACUAAUGGUUAUCAAUGCAAAAAAAAAAAAGAGUAACGUUACAUUUUUCUUUGUGGUCAAAAUAGUUGUUUGCCAUAGAAUAAUUUUAGUACUGUUAAAAUUUCAACAGCCAGAUUAGGCGAGUGAUUUAAAAUGUUACUGGCGAAAGAAGAAACCAGCAAAAAAAACAUAUAUACAAGAUGUAUAUUCUAUGUUUGAAGAAUGUUAUAUUCAAGAGGUUCCUUUUAUCUUUGACCAGAAAUGGAAAUGUUGCCAUGAUGUAUUUCAAAAACCUAUAUUGACUUCAGUAGCCAUGGUGAAAUCUCAGCGUUAAAAUUCGUUCCGUGAAAUUCUCUAACAGAUCUUCUGAAAGCCAGCUAGCACAGAUAUUGCGUGAGACAUAAAUGCAAAUUGAAAAUUGAUUUGUGUGUCUGAAGAACCACAUUUAACUAUCACUGUGCAUUUUGCUAUUGCUCAAAUAGAAGAAAUCACUUUAAUAUACUGAACUAAUUAAAACGGAAUGGAUGUAAUAUCGUCUUGGACUAAAACCCAUUGUUUAUUUAAACCUGUUGGUAAGACUGUUGUAUAAUGGGGACAAAAAAAUAAACUACUUUUUCCUGCAUGCUGCCUGUAGUACGUUAUGAUUUGCAGAUUGCGAUUUAUAAUGAAACUUGUCGUAUGCACAAAAGGUUGUAUAAUACAAAAAAAAAAAAGAAAUAUGAUGUUUCACCCUAACAUAUGUGUAUUUAGCUUUGUCUUUGUCUCGUUCAGAAAGCCUGUCUGUCAUUUGUAUUUUGUGCCCCCCUCCUUUCUAUUUUGUACCCCCGUAUUAUGUGACACCCUUCCCUUGUCUGAAAUGAUAUCCUGUGUAAAGAUCAUUGUCCAUUUCCUUGACUCCUUUCUUAACAUUGAAAUAUAAAUGUUUGUAAAGUGUUCAUUCAGCUUGUCUCCUUGUGUGUAUAUCUGGUAAGGCAUUUCCCUUAUACAGAAGAAUGAAGGAUUUAGCUUUUUUUGUACAUAACCCUUUGCAAAUGAAUAGAUAUAAUGUAUUGCUUAUUUAAUUCUGUCACUCAAAGGGUAAAAACCA